UCAGACCACCUGAAACAUCGACACAUUUCCGAGCAGGGCUUAUAGGAAUCAUAACGAUGUGGAGGUGCCGGUAUUGGAUUGGGGUGGACAAAAUUUAAAAAUCACACAUUACUAGCUAUCUGAUGAAGGGGCCGUGCUCUGAAAGCUCAUAAUUCCAAAUAAACUUGCUGGACUAUAA